UCCGGCCAUCACACCCCUGUCAACAGAUUGGCACAUCUGAGUGGGAAGGAUUUCAGCAGGGAGUUUGUGUUCUGUGGGCUUACUUGGUUCUAGCAGAAAAUUCCGACCAGCAGCACCCCUUGUUCCAGAAAUCAAUAAGGCUGAGAAAUAAGGACUUGACGCGAGACGAGUAUCUCGACGUCAGAUUUGGACCUGAUAGGAUUGGACCUUUAUUUUGGAGGCAGGUACUUUUGACUUAUUGUCUUUGAUAUGCUUAGUAAUGAAAAUAAUAUGUUGC